CAGACUCCCAAGCACCUGCCCAUCCCACUCCAUAGCCCAGCCACCCACUCAUCUACCAUAUGCCCAUCCCAGUAAGCAAGCCAACCACUAGAAUUUGACUGGCAUGCACCUGUGACUUACAUAAACCAGACCUCUACAUAGCCUACAUGUCUUCAUUUUGCUGAAGACUGCCCAUCAUCCUAGCCUGUUAUCUGUGAUAAAGCACACUGAAGUUAGGUUUGGAAUGCAUCCUUAUCAUGAAUGCUCUACACCUCCACCUCCAUCUCCCACAACCUACGUAACAGCUUUGAGACUCACUAAAAGUUGGUAAGUUAUGUAAGGAAUUUCUAA